rnacentral:rRNA from 1 species
AUUACGGGGUGCAAGGCGCGAAAACUUUACAAUGCUGGCAACAGCGAUAAGGGAACCUCGAGUGCCAGGUUACAAAUCUGGCUGUCGAGAAGCCUAAAAAGCAUUUCAUAGCAAGGGCCGGGCAAGACCGGUGCCAGCCGCCGCGGUAACACCGGCGGCUCGAGUGGUAACCGUUAUUAUUGGGUCUAAAGGGUCUGUAGCCGGCCGGAUAAGUCUCUUGAGAAAUCUGGCAGCUUAACUGUCAGGCUUUCAGGAGAUACUGUCUGGCUCGAGGCCGGGAGAGGUGAGAGGUACUUCAGGGGUAGGGGUGAAAUCUUGUAAUCCUUGAAGGACCACCAGUGGCGAAGGCGUCUCACCAGAACGGACCUGACGGCAAGGGACGAAAGCUAGGGGCACGAACCGGAUUAGAUACCCGGGUAGUCCUAGCCGUAAACGAUACUCGCUAGGUGUCGGCCACGGUGCGACCGUUGUCGGUGCCGUAGGGAAGCCGUGAAGCGAGCCACCUGGGAAGUACGGCCGCAAGGCUGAAACUUAAAGGAAUUGGCGGGGGAGCACAAU